rnacentral:tRNA from 1 species
GGGGUUGUGGCUCAGUGGUAGAGCACUUGCCUAACACACGUGAGGCCCUGAGUUCAAUCCUCAGCACCA